AAGCACUCAUACUGUGAAACUGCGAAUGGCUCAUUAAAUCAGUUAUCGUUUAUUUGAUAGUACCUUACUACUUGGAUACCCGUGGUAAUUCUAGAGCUAAUACAUGCUGAAAACCCCGACUUCGGGAGGGGUGUGUUUAUUAGAUAAAAAACCAAUGCCCUUCGGGGCUGCUUGGUGAUUCAUGAUAACCUAACGAAUCGCAUGGCCUUGAGCCGGCGAUGGUUCAUUCAAAUUUCUGCCCUAUCAACUUUCGAUGGUAGGAUCUGGGCCUACCAUGGUAUCAACGGGUAACGGGGAAUUAGGGUUCGAUUCCGGAGAGGGAGCCUGAGAAACGGCUACCACAUCCAAGGAAGGCAGCAGGCGCGCAAAUUACCCAAUCCCGACGCGGGGAGGUAGUGACAAUAAAUACUGAUACAGGGCUCUUUAGGGUCUUGUAAUUGGAAUGAGUACAAUUUAAACCCCUUAACGAGGAACAAUUGGAGGGCAAGUCUGGUGGACUCACGGCUCCCAAGCUGCUGACGCCAGAGAUAGUAGGGCCCCCCCGCGCGAGCGGGGGGGUUACGCCUGCUAGUCGAGCACCCACAGCAGCGGUGGGUGGGUGCCGGCGAGGUGACCUGGUACGGGGAAGCCUAAGGGCAGAGAUGCCUACGGUAAUCCCGUGGCGAGCCCCCCCCGAGCGGGUGGGGGGGGGCCGUCGUAACGCGCGGAAAGGCACCGGCCGCUGCGGGCGUCGCAGCGGCUCAAGGGACGUGCUGACCCGCCCGAAAGGGCGUCCCCGACUGGAGCGCCCACCGCGCGAGGUUCGGGGGAAGGGGCUCCCCCGAGCCCCGGACGAAGAUCGGCCAGCAGCCGCGGUAAUUCCAGCUCCAAUAGCGUAUAUUAAAGUUGUUGCAGUUAAAAAGCUCGUAGUGAACCUUGGGCCAGCUAGCCGGUCCGCCUUACCGCGUGCACUGGUUUGCCGGGCCCUUUCUCUGCAAACGCAUGCCCUCACU
rnacentral:rRNA from 1 species